AUUGAACUAUAAAUAAACUGGAAGGCUAACUGCUAUGAUGAAGGCCUAUGAUUUGAUGAAACCAAAAUAGUUUUUCUGAGUUAUGAGCAGAAAUACUUGAACAAACGUCGGGCAAUAUAUCAAAUUGAAGCUAUUGAAAAUUGCUGUUCGGUGUGGAAAUUUCAAGACUUCAGCGAAAAGAAAAAUAUUUAAAAAAUACAAAAACAACUGCAAAACGGCAAAUUAUCCGUAAUUAUGUUUGUAGUUUUUCAAUAUUUCCCUUUUAGCUAAAGUCUUGAAAUUUCUACACCAAAUAGCGUUUUUCAAUAGCUUCAAUUUGAU